CUUUCCACUUUAUGGUAAUAACCACUGACCUGUGAAUUCUGAGAGUAAAAGAAUACAGGCAUUAUUACACUUUUGUCAACAGCUUUUGUAAGGGUUUUGGGCUAAAUCAUCAUGUUUGACCAUUAUACCUCCACUGAUUUUAGCUGUGCUGCUUUAAGCUGGGUGGUCUGUGAAGUUUUGGUAUUUUUUAUCUGAAUAAAAACAUUGCAGUGAUAUCUUAAACAGGUGGGUUUUGAUUACCCUUCUGGUGAUGCUAACAGCCUGCAGGAGGUCAGCUGUCAGAGCAAUGGACUGCUCAGUUAGAGGCAGCAGAAUUCACUUCCACAGCUGUUUGCAGCUAGCAGGGAGAAAGAAAUUAUUUCAGCCAGAGGUAAUGUGAGGCAAAAGGCUGAGGGCUAUCUAUACCUCACCAUGAGUACUGAAUGUAUUACUGUGCUGAUUGCUCAAAAAAAUUCCCUUGCUCGAGUAAAACAAUGCAAAUUUUUUGAAUUAACUUCAGUAGAGUUUGGUUUAUUGACCUAUGGCUUUGGAAACUUUCUCUGCCUUUUCUAGCUUUUUAGAGAUUCUCAAAGGAAAAGUCUAUAUCUGCAGCAGAUAUAAUAUAAAUUUUAAAUAACUAUUACAACACAAUUCUCUGUAACUGCAGACAUGAAUUUUGAUGCUAAUCUCUGAAUAUAAUGAACUUUUGUCUGUUAUUUUGCUCUCAGAUUGAUGCUUAGUUCCAGUAUCCAGUAGGGCAGAAAAAUAACUUAUCAGCAUUCAUUAGAUACAUGAAACUCAGUGGAAUAUUUCCUGUUGCCUAUGAAAGUUGCUUUCUAAACUAGGAAAGGAUGUAUGAAAGGAGAGAAGGCAAAACAGAAUUGAAAUUGGAUAAGAAGCCUUUCACAUAGGGGCCAUUAGUUAUCAAAAGCUAUUCUUACUUGAUGGCUCACUGGUAUUCUAAAUUUAAUACUGUAUGUGGGUGAUCUCAUCAUUGCUUCUUACUUAAUAAUUUACCAUCUCUUAUUUCUGCUGCCUGGGUUUCUUAAUUGUAGCAGGUUUUUGGGUGUCUUUGUCUAAUUUUUCACCAAUAAAAGGAAAAAUUGUUUUUCAGGACUAUGUUUUCAAAUUUAGACUGCUUUUCUUCAAAAAUCUUAUGAGACAAGCUGGUCUGCUGAGGAAAAACAAAGCGAACAAGAGUCUUUGCUCUUUGCCUCCUUGACAUAAUGACGGUGCCAUGGCAGUUUCUGGUUUACUUCAGAAGUGUUCGUAGUUACAGGCUGGAAGCAGGAGCUCAGCAGCAUCGGAGUGGCUGAGCUGUCCUGCCUGGGAGCUGCACAAAAUCUUUGGUGUGCAACUGUGGAAGUGUUUCCAGACUGCUCUGGAAUCUCUCCACUUAUGGGUCACCCAACAAGAUCCUGCUUCUUGCUCAGCCAUGUACAGAAAUGGGCAGGCAUCCACACCUUCUAAAAUAAAGGUAUUUGCAAUAAACCAGAUUUAUUGUUGAGCAAUAAUAGCAAAGGAUAGAAUGAUCAAAUGAAAAGGAAAACCUGAAAAUUCCUUUUUCCAUCAAACUAAUUGCAACAAAUGCCAAUGGCAAGAGAUUUGAGCGGGAAGGAGGGGUGCUCAGUAAUUCAAAGGAAGAACUUGGAUUUAUUUGCUGGUUUUGCUAUUGAAUCCUCCUCUAACCAAUAGCAGGACCCUGGAAAUUAUUCUUUCUUGCCCUACAUUCCAGCCUGGAUGGACUCAGAAGUUAAGAACCACACCGUAAAGAUCUAUUUCACCAGCAUCUCACCGUAAAGAUCUAUUUCACCAGCAUCUCUGUCCCCUCAUUACAGUAAGCUCUCUUCUGUCAUCUUCCUGUCUCAGAGCUCUGCUUGGAGACCAGUUGAUGAGAUCCAUACCUCUGUACCAAGCUGUGUGACAAAAGCUGUGGGUCAAGUACUGCCCAAGUGAAGAGAGGCCAUGGUCAGAUGUCCCCACUCCCAUGCCUGUGGGACUUCUGUGCAGGUGUCUUGUUGAGGAAAGAUGAAGAUCCUGCUUCUUCCCAUGGAUCCCAAAUGGACACAACGGAGAAAUCCUGGCUCAGUUUCUGGCCAGUUCAAAGGUGAAGAUGUCAGCGCUGAAGUCUGAAGCACAUUGUAAAGGAAGAAUUGCUUCAAAAUAAGUGGAAGGGACUGCACAGCUGAUUUCUCACACUUCCUUCACAUGUAGCCUAUAGUGGGCAAAAUGUACUUUAAUUUUAGCUGUGACGUGCAACCUCAAUACAGACCCAGAAUUCUGGGAAGUAUUUUUGGCGAGUGCUGCACCGUAUCGGUUUCACACAUGCACUUGCUUUGUUGCAGUGUUCGCAAAAUAGAUCUGGAUCUUGCCUGGGAUAAUCAAUCUGUUUAACUCUUCAUCAGCUAUGGUUGUAAAAUUAUGGGUUAUUGGUAAUUUUAUGUGCCUAUUGUCUCAUAAAAUUUACAGAUUUGACACAUAUGUGCUGGAUGCUUGUACCUUGCUUUUUCUCUUUGAGGCAUUGAAAGAAUUUAAUGUAAUAGUAAUUUUGGGCUUUGGUCAAGGAAUUAAUUUCUAAAAUUGUGGAUUGAAUAUAAAUCAUGGUGCUAUUCUUUCUUAUAACCCCAAAAACCUGAUCUCUUUCCUCAAAUCUGCACUAAUCACAUGUUAACUAUACUUAAAAAUUAGUAAUAAAGAGUUUGGCAAACUAAUUCUCUGCAAUAAACUAGAGAUAGGUCCACAUGUUAUCAUCUGUCAUUUAUGCAGAAAGCAAAAACCAUAUGGCAGUAGAAUAAAAUUCCAGGAUAUAAAACCUAAUGAAAUAUGUUUACUAUAUUUAAUUAUCCAGUGAUUCAGCAAUGGUUUGCGUUGACUUUGGUCUGAGCCUGACAGGGAAAAACAUUACAUAUUGAAAUAGAAAUUAUAAUUAUUAUUACCAUGAUAGAUAUUGAUCUAUUUUCAGGUCUUGUAGAUAGUGAAUCAUAUUUGACUUUUUUUGAAUGUAGAUAAUUGUACUAUCCAUAUAUUUAUAUAUUUUUGUUGUAUUUUUUUCAAUUUAUAUUUAGUCCAUCACAAUAUGAAGGAAAUUUUGAAUAUCAAAACAUUGCUGAAGAAAAGAAAAAAACUCAGAAAAUAUAAAAUUAGGAUGUUGUUGUUGUAUAGACUGGACCAAUUGUUAUUUUAUUUACUACUGUUUCUUAGUUCAGACUGGGUCAGUUGGUGGUUUUUUGCCUUUGGACAGUUGACUGCAGGAGUUCUGCAUCAUUUGAAUUAGAGUUACAUGAUUAUAAUAAUUGGAAGCAUACAUUAGGUAUGGAGACUACAUACAUUUAGAAAAAGGAAACAAAAGUAACUUCACAAGAUACAGAUGAGAGGAAUUCUCUAAAUUUCCUAUGAUGGAAAUUUUUUUUUCCCUUUCCUAUAACAGUGUCGGAAAAAUAAAUAAAUAAGGUGUAGCAGAAAACAAUUGAAGUUUAAUUAUUUGCUGGAUCAUAUGUCAGAAAACAUAGAAAUGUGCUUUGUAAUUUUUGGUUGGAUUUUUCUAGCACUUAAGCCAAAAUGAACGUUCCCAUUUUCUUCAGUGGAAACUAGAACAAGCCAGGAAUUUUAGGUUUAUUAAACACCCUCAGGAAAAAAAAAAAAAAAUGAGGAUGAGGCAUCAGGUACCAUCUGUGCUAUUCAACACAGAGAAGUAAUAUGAGAUAAAGAUCCAGGGAUGAGAAUAUUUUAAUCUAUGUAGUUAGUAUAAACACUAUUGGAAGCAUGCAGUCAAGUGCUUCACAGCUUGGAAAUGGCAAAACAAAAGCUGCAACGUUAAAAUUUCCCCAUUUUUUGCCUGUUUUGUGUGCCUACAUAGUAAUGGUAUCCCUAUUUUUGUAAUUACUUACAAUUUCCCCAAACAAGACACCUAACAUGAUCAGUUUUCUAUUAUAUGACUGAGAUAUAAAGAUAGAUGAGAGAUCUGAGGAACCAGGAACUCAGAGAUCCUCACAGGCUUUCAUUUUAAUUUAAAAGAUGGAAUUUUUUAAUCUCCAAACCUUAAUUCUGAAAGCAUAUUUUAUAUUAGUAACUGCCUUAUUGUUCAAAACUAUAUCUAGAAAAGGUGCUUCAAAGUUAAAAAUAUGAUUAUUUUCAUUAGAGUUUGCAUAUUUGUGAACUGUCAAUCUGAUGUUGCAGAAUUUUCUUUGAUGGACUAGAUUAUUUGAAAUAUUGUAAAAUAUUUCUAUUUAAUCUUACUACCUAUGUGGUUCUAGUAUUGAAAUAGUAAUAAUAUAUUCUUGUGCCAAUAUUAAUAUCUUUAUGUGAGUAACUGAGUAAAGUUAAUAUCUUUAUCUGAGAGAAGCAUCUGAGAUAAAAAACACAGAAGUUUUUGGUGUCACAC